rnacentral:rRNA from 1 species
UACAGAGGGUGCGAGCGUUGUCCGGAAUCACUGGGCGUAAAGGGCGCGUAGGCGGCUUGGUAAGUAGGGGGUGAAAUCUUGCGGCUCAACUGCAAGGCUGCCUCCUAAACUGUCAGGCUUGAGCACAGUAGAGGCAGGUGGAAUUCCUGGUGUAGCGGUGGAAUGCGCAGAUAUCAGGAGGAACACCGGUGGCGAAGGCGGGUCUCUGGGCAGUAACUGACGCUGAGGAGCGAAAGCGUGGGGAGCGAACAGG